rnacentral:rRNA from 1 species
UACGUAGGUCCCGAGCGUUGUCCGGAUUUAUUGGGCGUAAAGCGAGCGCAGGUGGUUUAUUAAGUCUGGCGUAAAAGGCAGUGGCUCAACCAUUGUAUGCAUUGGAAACUGGUAGACUUGAGUGCAGGAGAGGAGAGUGGAAUUCCAUGUGUAGCGGUGAAAUGCGUAGAUAUUCGGAGGAACACCGGUGGCGAAGGCGGCCAACUGGGCUUUAACUGACGCUGAGGCUCGAAAGUGUGGGGAGCAAACAGG